rnacentral:rRNA from 1 species
UACGGGGGGGGCAAGCGUUGUUCGGAAUUACUGGGCGUAAAGGGCGCGUAGGCGGUCUUGUAAGUUCCGUGUGAAAUCCCUCGGCUCAACUGAGGAACCGCACGGAAAACUGCUUGGCUUGAAUCCGGGAGAGGGAUGUGGAAUUCCAGGUGUAGCGGUGAAAUGCGUAGAUAUCUGGAGGAACACCGGUGGCGAAGGCGGCAUCCUGGGACCGGUAUUGACGCUGAGGCGCGAAAGCCAGGGGAGCAAACGGG